GGUAGUAUGGCGCAGUGGUAAAGCCAUCUUUCGAGGGUGUAAACUCCUUGCAAGAGUCCUUGGUUCAAAUCCAAGUACUGCUC